rnacentral:rRNA from 1 species
AUUGAACGCUGGCGGCAGGCCUAACACAUGCAAGUCGAACGGUAACAGGAAGAAUCUUGCUUCUUUGCUGACGGGUGGCGGGCGGGUGAGCAAUGUCUGGGAAACUGCCUGAUGGAUGGGGAUAACUACUGGAAACGGUAGCUAAUACCGCAUACCGGCGCAAGACCAAGGAGGGGGACCUGCGGGCCUCUUGCCAGCGGAUGUGCCCAGAUGGGAUGAGCUAGUAGGUGGGGCAAGGGCUCACCGAGGCGACGAUCCCUAGCUGGUCUGAGAGGAUGACCAGCCACACUGGAACUGAGACACGGUCCAGACUCCUACGGGAGGCAGCAGUGGGGAAUAUUGCACAAUGGGCGCAAGCCUGAUGCAGCCAUGCCGCGUGUAUGAAGAAGGUCUUCGGGUUGUAAAGUACUUUCAGCGGGGAGGAAGGGAGGAAAGUUAAUACCUUGGCGCAUUGACGUUACCCGCAGAAGAAGCACCGGCUAACUCCGUG